CCCUCCCCUGUUGAAAGAAUUUCUCUUUGCCUUCUCUCCCCUCCCCCACGCCCUCUCAGCAGCCUUGGAGGAACUGCCUUUGCUGCAGCCCUUUUCUCUCUGAGCCCUUGCAUCAACUCUACUGAAACGGGGCCAGCGUGUGCGUAGUUGAACUGCCGGUCAUUAGACGCCCCUCACUUCCACCAGGGAAAACUGGCAGAGCAACUGACCUCUACUGCCCAAGGGCAUGCUGGUUCAGGAGGCUUCUCAGCUGCCUGUUUCUCCCCUCACUUGGGUCAAGAAGUGAUCCUUUUGGUCAGUCAAGGACUUAAUGCUCCAGUAAAUAAGGAGUCCAACAAGUAAAAAAAGGAAGCAGCUUCUGAUUCCACGGAAACAUAAACAAAGCUGUAAACAAUCAUCGGAUGGAAAAACGACUACUUCACUCCUAUACAGCAAACGAAAUAAAACCAUUUUCACGAGCUCUUUCUGGCACAGUAGACUGGACGUGUGCCGACCACAGC